GAUGAACGCUGGCGGCGUGCCUAAUACAUGCAAGUCGAGCGAACGGACGAGAAGCUUGCUUCUCUGAUGUUAGCGGCGGACGUGUGAGUAACACGUGGAUAACCUACCUAUAUGACUGGGAUAACUUCGGGAAACCGGUGCUUAUACCGUAUAAUAUUUUGAACCGCAUGGUUCAAAAGUAAAAUACGGUCUUGCUGUCACUUAUAUAUGUAUCCGCGAUGCAUUAGCUAGUUGGUAAGGUAACGGCUUACCAAGGCAACGAUGCAUAGCCGACCUGAGAGGGUGAUCGGCCACAAUGGAACUGAGAAAAGGAACAGAGUACUACGGGAGGAAGCAGAAGGGAAUAUUACGCAAUGGGGGAAAGCAUGACGGAGCAAAGCCGAGUGAGAGAUGAAGGUCUUAGGAUCGGAAAAAUCUGUUAUUAGGGAAGAAAAUAUGUGUAAGUAAAUGUGCACAUAGUGACGGUAACUAAUAAGAAAGCAACGGCUAACUACGUG
rnacentral:rRNA from 1 species